GGCUACCUGGCGCAAUGGUAGCGCGUUUGGCUUCGAUCGCCGGACGGCAACCCCUCCGCCUCAGUGUCGGUACCAAAAGGCUGCAGGUUCGAGUCCUGCGGUGGUCA